UCCAUAUGGCGCCCGCCAGGUGCCCGCAAGCGGGAGAAUCGGGAAGUCGGUGCAAUUCCGGCACGUGCCCAACGCUGUGACGGGGACGGCUACGCCAGUUACGCUCUGAAGAAAUUCGGAGCCUUGCCACUGAAUCCUCAGGCGGUUCGGGAAGGCGGCGCGGCCGGACGAUCCGGAGUCAGAAGACCGGCCUGGCAAGAUGGACCGGC
rnacentral:ncRNA from 2 species